rnacentral:lncRNA from 1 species
ACGCCCGGCGCCGCUUCGCCCGGCCCCAGCCAGGUAAGGGCCCAGGUGGGCGGGGAGCGCGCGGUGCGCCCCGGCUCCGGCUCGUUAGGGGCGGCGGAAAGGCUGAUGCUUUACGGAUCUUGGGAGGCAGGGAGGAGUGGGGAUGGGAGCAAAUUUGGGGGCGCCAAGGGGCAGUACCGCCUCCCAGCGCUGCGCGACAGGAUGACAGGAGCGCGGCGCGCGAGAGAUGAGGGGAUGAGGACCUGCGGGCGAUGCACCCCAAGGUGUCGGCGAGGGUGGGCUGGCGUGGGGUACCUGCCCCGUCACUUCCCUGCAUCUCAGCCCGCGUGGCCUGCGUAGUCCGCUCUGAGGCGACCAAGUGGCGCGAGCUGCAUUCCCGCGACGCCAGCAUCCCUGUCGGGUACCUUGGAUGGGGGGAGGGGGUGAGCCUGUAUAAUAAGCUGCUUGUGCGUAGCACAAACUGGGAGGAAUUUGGAGUCUGAAGCCCUGAAUUUGAGUCCAGGCUUUCCAUCCCUUGCUACUGUGCUGUGCACUUCUGGGUGGGUUGCUUAACCUCUCUGGGCCCAGCUUCUUCACUCUGGAGAGAGAAAUUUGGAGAGCAAGUUGGAGCUUAUUGUUGGCAUUUAAUAAAACGAUGAAAGAUCGUUAUAGAAUAGCAAGCCCCUUAUCUUUGGUGGUCAACUCUCUCUGGGAAAGUUUGGCACGGUGUGGAGUCCGGCAGACAGCCCACCGACUGAGGUGUGUGGGCCUCCCCCGGGGUCCCGAACCCGCGGAGCCGGUAGACAACGCGGGCUUCGGCUUCACGCAGGUGUCCUCAGGCUCCAGGGCCCAGUCGGUGAUCCCUCCCAGGCCUUUAAUCCCUGCCCCCCAGACAAACGGGGGAGGGGUCUGUCCCCAGGAGCCUC